AAAAUAUCCUUAGGUCUCUCUAUCACAAAAAAAAACAUCAUUCACUACUAUAGCUUCGUUCUCAUCAUCAAAUUAACAUGGUCAAAGCUAUCAGAGUUCAUCAAAUUGGUGGCAUUCAGGUUUUGAAGUGGGAGGAUGUGGAAAUUGGAGAGCC